rnacentral:rRNA from 2 species
GAGCGGCAGCACGGGUACUUGUACCUGGUGGCGAGCGGCGGACGGGUGAGUAAUGCCUAGGAAUCUGCCUGGUAGUGGGGGAUAACGCUCGGAAACGGACGCUAAUACCGCAUACGUCCUACGGGAGAAAGCAGGGGACCUUCGGGCCUUGCGCUAUCAGAUGAGCCUAGGUCGGAUUAGCUAGUUGGUGAGGUAAUGGCUCACCAAGGCGACGAUCCGUAACUGGUCUGAGAGGAUGAUCAGUCACACUGGAACUGAGACACGGUCCAGACUCCUACGGGAGGCAGCAGUGGGGAAUAUUGGACAAUGGGCGAAAGCCUGAUCCAGCCAUGCCGCGUGUGUGAAGAAGGUCUUCGGAUUGUAAAGCACUUUAAGUUGGGAGGAAGGGCAUUUACCUAAUACGUGAGGGUUUUGACGUUACCGACAGAAUAAGCACCCGUCUAACUCUGUGCCAGCAGCCGCGUGUAAUACAGAGGG